rnacentral:rRNA from 1 species
UACGAAGGGGGCUAGCGUUGCUCGGAAUUACUGGGCGUAAAGCGCACGUAGGCGGCUUGGUAUGUCGAGUGUGAAAUCCCCGGGCUCAACCUGGGAACUGCAUCCGAAACUGCCUUGCUAGAGUAUGGGAGAGGGAAGUGGAAUUUCCGGUGUAGCGGUGAAAUGCGUAGAUAUCGGAAGGAACAUCAGUGGCGAAGGCGACUUCCUGGACCAAUACUGACGCUCAGGUGCGAAAGCGUGGGGAGCAAACAGG